UCCAACAGCCUCUUUCACCUCCUGUUGACAUCUCUCCAUCAGUUGUCGGCGGCUAACCUCCAUCCUCUCCACCAUGGCAUCCUGCUGUCUCCCAUCCGGCACCAUCCCAUGUGUUCCAAUAAGGUGUAGCCCACGCCCCAGCCCAUCUUGUGCCUAUCCAUGUGGGCCUAUCUUUCCAGUGAGCAGUUCCCAGCCCUCUAGACGCCAAACCUAUCAAUGCAGACCCCUUGCACCCUUGUGUGUCCAGCCUAGCAGUGGCCAGUCUUCUUCUGGUCCAACCUGUGCCAUUCCAUGUGGGCCCAUCUAUCCAGUGAGCAGUGGCCAGUCUUCUUCUGGUCCAACCUGUGCCAUUCCGUGUGGGCCCAUCUAUCCGGUGAGCAGUGGCCAGUCUUCUUCUGGUCCAACCUGUGCCAUUCCGUGUGGGCCCAUCUAUCCAGUGAGCAGCGGCCAGUCUUCUUCUGGUCCAACCUAUGCCAUUCCGUGUGGGCCCAUCUAUCCAGUGAGCAGUGGCCAGUCUUCUUCUGGUCCAACCUGUGCCAUUCCGUGUGGGCCCAUCUAUCCGGUGAGCAGUGGCCAGUCUUCUUCUGGUCCAACCUGUGCCAUUCCGUGUGGGCCCAUCUAUCCAGUGAGCAGUGGCCAAUCUUCCUCCCCUCCAGUGAGCAGCUGUCAGCCUUGCUAUGUCCCAAUUUGUAUCGAGCCCUGUGCUCCUUGUCGUUUCCCUUGCUAAACCACCAAGAAACAUCUCCCCUGGUACGCGGUCAUGUUGAGAAUUGAAAAUGAUGGAACGAAUUCAUGGCUAAGCUGAUGGGGACUGGGUACCCAAAGCGCUGAGCAUUCACACUUCUAACUGAGGCUCUGUAGUUUCAGCACCUGCGCAUCAUCUUUGGCGCUCAGUCCCUGCUUUAAUGUUCUUUGACCCUGCCACUUCUGAAGGAUCCCUUUUGCUACAUUUCACAAUUGCUCUGUUUAAUCAGGGAGACAUGACACAUUGUUGUCAAUUUCAUCUCUGAGGGUUGCUAUCAGCUGUGUUCCCCAAUGCUAAUCAUAGAUUCAACCUGCUGUUCACUCCUCUUCCUUGUUUUUGUUAUGAUGUCUUUGUGUUCUCAUUCUGUUUGCACUAAAUAAAGUCAUCUCUGCUGCAAAGAAA